rnacentral:rRNA from 1 species
AUUGAACGCUGGCGACAUGCCUUACACAUGCAAGUCGAACGGCAUCGCGGGAAAGCUUGCUUUCCUGGCGGCGAGUGGCGAACGGGUGAGUAACACAUCGGAACGUACCGGCUAGUGGGGGAUAACCCGUCGAAAGACGGGCUAAUACCGCAUACGCUCUUCGGAGGAAAGCAGGGGACCUUUGGGCCUUGCGCUAGCCGAGCGGCCGAUGUCCGAUUAGCUAGUUGGUGAGGUAAAGGCCUACCAAGGCGACGAUCGGUAGCGGGUCUGAGAGGACGAUCCGCCACACUGGGACUGAGACACGGCCCAGACUCCUACGGGAGGUAGCAGUGGGGAAUCUUGGACAAUGGGGGCAACCCUGAUCCAGCAAUGCCGCGUGGGUGAAGAAGGCCUUCGGGUUGUAAAGCCCUUUCGGCAGGGAAGAAAUCGGCGGGGCGAAUAACCCUGCUGGAUGACGGUACCUGCAGAAGAAGCACCGGCUAACUACGUG